GUCGACGGCAGCACGGACUUCGGUCUGGUGGCGAGUGGCGAACGGGUGAGUAAUAUAUCGGAACGUGCCCAGUCGUGGGGGAUAACGUAGUGAAAAUUACGCUAAUACCGCAUACGAUCUAAGGAUGAAAGCGGGGGAUCGCAAGACCUCGCGCGAUUGGAGCGGCCGAUAUCAGAUUAGGUAGUUGGUGAGGUAAAGGCUCACCAAGCCAACGAUCUGUAGCUGGUCUGAGAGGACGACCAGCCACACUGGAACUGAGACACGGUCCAGACUCCUACGGGAGGCAGCAGUGGGGAAUUUUGGACAAUGGACGCAAGUCUGAUCCAGCCAUUCCGCGUGCAGGACGAAGGCCUUCGGGUUGUAAACUGCUUUUGUACAGAACGAAAAGGUCUCUAUUAAUACUAGGGGCUCAUGACGGUACUGUAAGAAUAAGCACCGGCUAACUACGUGCCAGCAGCCGCGGUAAUACGUAGGGUGCAAGCGUUAAUCGGAAUUACUGGGCGUAAAGCGUGCGCAGGCGGUUAUAUAAGACAGAUGUGAAAUCCCCGGGCUCAACCUGGGAACUGCAUUUGUGACUGUAUAGCUGGAGUGCGGCAGAGGGGGAUGGAAUUCCGCGUGUAGCAGUGAAAUGCGUAGAUAUGCGGAGGAACACCGAUGGCGAAGGCAAUCCCCUGGGCCUGCACUGACGCUCAUGCACGAAAGCGUGGGGAGCAAACAGGAUUAGAUACCCUGGUAGUCCACGCCCUAAACGAUGUCAACUGGUUGUUGGGUCUUCACUGACUCAGUAACGAAGCUAACGCGUGAAGUUGACCGCCUGGGGGAGUACGCCGCAGGUUGAAACUCAAAGGAAUUGACGGGGACCCGGCAAAGCGGUGGAUGAUGGUGGUUUAAUCGAUGCAACCGGAAAACUUACCCACCUUGACAUGGACGGAUCGCCAGA
rnacentral:rRNA from 1 species